rnacentral:rRNA from 1 species
GUGCCAGCCGCCGCGGUAAUACCGGCAGCCCGAGUGAUGGCCGAUAUUAUUGGGCCUAAAGCGUCCGUAGCUGGCCAGACAAGUCCGUUGGGAAAUCCACCCGCCCAACGGGUGGGCGUCCGGUAGAAACUGGCCGGCUUGGAACCGGAAGGCUCAGAGAGUACGUCCGGGGUAGGAGUGAAAUCCCGUAAUCCCGGACGGACUACCGAUGGCGAAAGCACUCUGAGAAGACGGCUUCGACAGUGAGGGACGAAAGCUCGGGUCUCAAACCGGAUUAGAAACCCCAGUAGUCC